UUCAAUCACAUAAUGGCGCGGUACCGUCGACACGGUGUCGUUUUAGAAUUCCGAAACGAUAGACUUCCUUUCUUUUCACGAAAACGGAGCAACGGGCACACCAACACCGCCAACGUGAGGCCAGAGGCGCGGCAGUUUUAAUCGACGAACACGCGCGUUAUCUUAUUACAGAUACGCGGCUCAGAUAUCUUCCGAUAAAGUUCGAGUGUAAUAUACGCAUGUGCUACGAUAGCAACGACGGCAAUCCUCGUACGUACAUCGUCACCGCUGGCAAAAAUAUUUACGUGUAUCUGGUAUUGUCGGUCGUCGGCUAACCCGGUAGUUUGUUACCCUAUCAAUGAACAGCCUGAUUAAUAAGACCUGUUGGAGCUUCGACGGUGCACGCGCGACUGUUGGAUAAUUGUUAAUUGGUAGCUCCAGUGUUAAAAUAGAGGAGAAAUGGCGGAAGGGAGAAACGUGAUUAUCGCAAAUACAAGGUUAUGUUGGCGAUUAAAUUUUUUACGAGCUUGCUGUUCCGUAAUUUGUUGCAGUAGACAAUUUUGGGAUAGAUUCGUUUAUAAAUAAGGAAAUCGUAAAAGAGAGAGCGUAAUUCUGGAACUUCUGGACCUUCUGGAACUUUUCUGGAACCUUUCUGGAACCUUUCUGGAACUUUUCUGAUAACGUGACCAAAUCCUACGUCCACGUGUGUGGGUGACAAGGUAAUCAACAUAUUAACGAAGUAUCCAACUAAGACGAUCACGAUCGGGCGUUUCAGACAGCGGUUGCAGGGCAAAUCCAGAUACCGUUCAAUUUCGAAGAUGGCGGCCGGUCUCACGGGCUCGGCCUCGGUCUAACGCUUCGGGAAAGGAGUUAGCACGCCUAAGCACACUUAAGUCGUCGCCGUAAGAAAAUGACGAAUGCCAAUUAGCAUAUGAAAAGCUUCCCCCGUUCGCCAGUUCGUUCGGACGAGCGUGGCUCUCGACUCCUCCGGGCAGCUCCUUCCUUCUCCGGACGCUUGGCAGGGCGAUCACGUUUUUGAAUAUUAAGGGCAGGAUUACACCCAGGGCUUAACGCGCGAAAUUUAGUCUGCCGGGGCCAGGAACGAAAAGAAAUCACCCUUAAGACCCCGGAGUAACGGCGCGAGAAGAGAUGCCAGAAAAUCGGCGGAACGAGGUCCUCACGGGCCUUCGGUUGUCCUCGUCACCCCCGGCAUGCAUCAUCCCCUUAACCGAUCAUGCUGGUUCAAGGUGAUAAAUGAAUAACCGUGCUUCAGGAUCGCGAGGAGGAUCAAACCUGCGGCGCGACGUCGAAAAACUACCGGGAAAGUUUGCCAUUGUUCUGGCUGCUUCGGGGUGAGAAUUGAAAUGGCAAUCAUUGGGCGGAGGAUUGUUUAUGCGAAAUCGAACAUUUCUGUGUCGUUUGUUAGAAACAAAAAACAUUGAAAAAUGUCUUCCUUUUUUUUUAAUAGUUGCUGGUAAGGUAUUGGAUGUUCUUCGAUUAUUUUAACAUUCGAACGAAUCAUUUCUACUAUACAAUGAUAUUAUUCCAUUAUACUAUGAUGUUUAUCACCAGACUGGUGUCCUUUAUGCAAAAUAAAAAGAUUGAACUUUA